GGUGUUUCUCUGAUUUCCCUGGUUAGAAGGUGGUGGUGUUUCUCUGAUUUCCCUGGUUAGAAGGUGGUGGUGUUUCUCUGAUUUCCCUGGUUAGGUGGUGGUGUUUCCCUGGUUAGAAGGUGGUGGUGUUUCUCUGAUUUCCCUGGUUAGAAGGUGGUGGUGUUUCUCUGAUUUCCCUGGUUAGGUGGUGGUGUUUCCCUGGU